AUGCGAUACCUUGGUCUUCCGCUGUCAGUCAAGCGCCUCAAAAAUAUUCACUUUCAACCCCUCAUUGACAAGGUCGCCAGCAAGCUCCCUCCUUGGCAGGGAAGACACGUUGCCAGUGCUGGGCGCGUGGUUCUCGUUAAAGCGGUCCUCACGGCCAUCGCGAUUUAUCACCUCAUGCCUCUCGACAUCCCCGUGGAGGUGCUAAACGCAAUUGACAGCCUUCGGCGUGCAUACCUUUGGGCUGGAACGGACAAAGUUUCGGGAGGGAAAUGCAAGAUUAAUUGGGAUCUCGUUUGCAAGCCUAAACAGUUUGGCGGACUAGGCUUGCUCAAUCUGGACAAAUUUGCUAAAGCCCUACGUCUUCGAUGGCUAUGGUUUGAGUGGGUGGACAAAAGCAAGCCUUGGAUAGGCAUG
rnacentral:rRNA from 1 species